AACUUUGCACAGUGGCGAUAUCAUAGCCAGUGAGGUUUAUCCAAGGUGCGAUUAUUGCUAAUUGAAAUCUUUUCCCAAUACCCUGCCUUGAUGACUUGAAAUAUAGUUGGCAUUGACAAUUUUUAACAGUCUCUAUGGAGA
ensembl:snRNA U4 U4 spliceosomal RNA